AACCUGGUUGAUCCUGCCAGUAGUCAUAUGCUUGUCUCAAAGAUUAAGCCAUGCAUGUCUGAGUCUAUGCCUUUAUACGGUUAAGCUGCGAAUGGCUCAUUAUAACAGUAAUGAUCUAUUUGAUGAUUAUCGUUACAUGGAUAACUACAGUAAUUCUGGAGCCAAUACAUGUUUCAACACCCAACUUAUUGGAGGGUGGUGCUUACCAAAUUCAGAACCAAUCCAAGCUUGCUUGGUAUCAUAAUGAAGUAUGGUAAGAGGAUGAAUCACAUGGUCUUUCUGGUGAUGCAUCUCAUGAGUUUCUGACCUAUCAGCUUUGGAUGGUAGGGUAUUGGCCUACCAUGGCAAUGACGGGUAACGGAGAAUUAGGGUUCGAUUCCGGAGAGGGAGCCUGAGAAAUGGCUACCACAUCUAAGGAAGGCAGCAGGCGCGCAAAUUACCCAAUCUUGACACAAGGAGGUAGUGACAAGAAAUAACAAUACAGGGCAUCCAUGUCUUGUAAUUGGAAUGAGCAGAAUUUAAAACACUUUGCAAGUAUCAAUUGGAGGGCAAGUCUGGUGCCAGCAGCCGCGGUAAUUCCAGCUCCAAUAGCGUAUAUUAAAGUUGUUGCAGUUAAAAAGCUCGUAGUUGAAUUUCUGCAUAGGGCUGUUGGUCCAUCCCCUGGGUGAGUAUCUGACAUGUUCUGUGCAUGAGUCUUGAUGACUAUAGGGCCUUCGCUGGUCGUAUAGUUGUCAGCUAUUUUACUUUGAGGAAAUUAGAGUGUUUCAAGCAGGCAUGUGCCUUGAAUAUAUUAGCAUGGAAUAAUGAAAUUGAGCUUUGGAUCUUUUUUAUUGGUUUCGAGAACCAUCGCAACGAUUGAUAGGGACCAAUUGGGGCCUUUGUGUUUUAAACUGUCAGGGGGUGGAAAUUCCUUGGGAUUUGUUUAAAAGACCCCCCUAAUGCGAAAGGCAUUUGGCCAAAGGAUGUUUUUCUUUGAUCAGACGAAAGUUAGGGAUCGAGACGAUUAGAUACGUCCUAGUCUUAACCAUAAACAAUGCACUAGAGAAUUGGGGUGAGUGUCAUUAUUGGCUCUCUCAGCAC
rnacentral:rRNA from 1 species